UACGGAGGGGACUAGCGUUGUUCGGAAUUACUGGGCGUAAAGCGCACGUAGGCGGAUUUGUAAGUCAGGGGUGAAAUCCCGGAGCUCAACUCCGGAACUGCCUUUGAUACUGGUAAUCUAGAGAUCGGAAGAGGUUAGUGGAAUUCCCAGUGUAGAGGUGAAAUUCGUAGAUAUUGGGAAGAACACCAGUGGCGAAGGCGGCUAACUGGUCCGAUACUGACGCUGAGG
rnacentral:rRNA from 1 species